rnacentral:rRNA from 1 species
AGAGUUUGAUCAUGGCUCAGGACGAACGCUGGCGGCGUGCUUAACACAUGCAAGUCGAACGGAAAGGCCCUUCGGGGUACUCGAGUGGCGAACGGGUGAGUAACACGUGGGUGAUCUGCCCUGCACUCUGGGAUAAGCCUGGGAAACUGGGUCUAAUACCGGAUAGGACCGCAUGCUUCAUGGUGUGUGGUGCAAAGCUUUUGCGGUGUGGGAUGAGCCCGCGGCCUAUCAGCUUGUUGGUGGGGUAAUGGCCUACCAAGGCGACGACGGGUAGCCGGCCUGAGAGGGUGACCGGCCACACUGGGACUGAGAUACGGCCCAGACUCCUACGGGAGGCAGCAGUGGGGAAUAUUGCACAAUGGGCGCAAGCCUGAUGCAGCGACGCCGCGUGAGGGAUGACGGCCUUCGGGUUGUAAACCUCUUUCAGUAGGGACGAAGCGAAAGUGACGGUACCUACAGAAGAAGGACCGGCCAACUACGUGCCAGCAGCCGCGGUAAUACGUAGGGUGCGAGCGUUGUCCGGAAUUACUGGGCGUAAAGAGCUCGUAGGUGGUUUGUCGCGUUGUUCGUGAAAACUCACAGCUUAACUGUGGGCGUGCGGGCGAUACGGGCAGACUAGAGUACUGCAGGGGAGACUGGAAUUCCUGGUGUAGCGGUGGAAUGCGCAGAUAUCAGGAGGAACACCGGUGGCGAAGGCGGGUCUCUGGGCAGUAACUGACGCUGAGGAGCGAAAGCGUGGGGAGCGAACAGGAUUAGAUACCCCGGUAGUCCAA